UGGCUCAGGGUAGAGCGCUUGCCUUGCAUGCAUGAGGCCCUGGGUUUGAUUCCCCAG
rnacentral:tRNA from 1 species